UUUUUGUUUAAAAUUAUUUAUUUAUUCAAUUUAUUUAUUUGUUUGUUUCUUUGUUUUAGAUGAAGUCUUGUUCUUGUCCUCCACACUGGAGUGCAAUGGUGUGAUCUCGGCUCACUGCAACCUCUGCCUCCCAGGUUCAGGCGAUUCUCCUGCCUCAGCCUCCCUAGUAGCUGGGAUUACAGGCACCUGCCACCAUGGGAUUGUAGGUUUAAAGCUGGGGAGCUUCACACUCUCUGUCGAGGUCCUGGUUAGAAGGAGUGUCUACACAAUGGACAAAAGGCCAGUCUCUCACCUUCUUCUUCCCUAAUCCCCCACAGAGAGAGGGUAACGUAAAUGUAUCCUGAUGCCACUGAAAAGCUUUGUGCUGACUCGUGAGGUGUAAAGUACAAACUAACAAAGGAACAAAAAGCCACCAUCUGCAUAUCACCAGCUCCUAAGAAACUGGGUUCUAGGCUUUCAGGGAGAGAGAGGACAGAGAGAAGAGGUGGGGAGAGGAGGUUCUAAGAAGCAAGGAAGUCUCUUUUGGAAGUGCAUUGUCAUUCUCAUGAGCUAUCUACCUUGGAAGGGAUGAACCAGCCCGUGGUCACCCCCAAGCUGGCCCAAUGUGUUGUGAGCACAGGUUACACUUGAUAGUGACCUGUGAUCUGUCCAUGGUGCUACUGAGGAGAGCCUGAAAUCAAGAUGCUCUGAUUAUAGCCCUUGUUCGACACCCUCACCUAUAAAAUGGGAAUUUUAGCCCCCACCUUUCAGAGCUGUUAGAGGGAUACAACCAUGAUAACAAUGAAUGUUAACUGAGAGUCCUAGUGUGCCUGGUACCCGGCUAUAUAUUUCCCAUACAUAACCUCAUUAGAACUCACUGCAGCCCUAUUUGCAGUAUUCUCUUAAAUAAAAGGGAGAACCAAGCUCA
rnacentral:lncRNA from 13 species